CCUACGGGGGGCAUCAGUGGGGAAUAUUGGACAAUGGGCGAAAGCCUGAUCCAGCCAUGCCGCGUGUGUGAAGAAGGCCUUCGGGUUGUAAAGCACUUUCAGUGGGGAAGAAAGCCUUGGGGCUAAUACCCUCGAGGAAGGACAUCACCCACAGAAGAAGCACCGGCUAACUCCGUACCAGCAGCCGCGGUAAUACGGAGGGUGCGAGCGUUAAUCGGAAUUACUGGGCGUAAAGCGCGCGUAGGCGGUCUGAUAAGCCGGUUGUGAAAGCCCCGGGCUCAACCUGGGAACGGCAUCCGGAACUGUCAGGCUAGAGUGCAGGAGAGGAAGGUAGAAUUCCCGGUGUAGCGGUGAAAUGCGUAGAGAUCGGGAGGAAUACCAGUGGCGAAGGCGGCCUUCUGGACUGACACUGACGCUGAGGUGCGAAAGCGUGGGUAGCAAACAGGAUUAGAUCCCCGAGUAGUC
rnacentral:rRNA from 1 species